rnacentral:rRNA from 1 species
UAGGGAAUAUUAGUAAUGGGCGAAAGCCUGAACUAGCAACGCCGCGUGUGCGAAGAAGGCCUUCGGGUUGUAAAGCACUUUUUGAGAGGAUGAGGAAGGACGGUACUCUCAGAAUAAGUCUCGGCUAACUACGUGCCAGCAGCCGCGGUAACACGUAGGAGGCAAACGUUAUCCGGAUUUACUGGGCGUAAAGCGCGUGUAGGUGGUUUGGUAAGUAGGGCGUGAAAGCUCCUGGCUCAACUGGGAGAGGACGUUCUAAACUGCCAAGCUUGAGGAUGGUAGAGGGAGGUGGAAUUCCGGGUGUAGCGGUGGAAUGCGCAGGUAUCCGGAGGAACACCAGUGGCGAAGGCGGCCUCCUGGACCACUCCUGACACUCAGACGCGAAAGCUAGGGUAGCAAAC